GUCUAUUGCCGCAGUUCCAGCCUGAAUCUGAGCACUCAACUUCAUUGGCAUCCCUCACCGCUGAACACCACUGCUGUUUUCAGAAGGCCACGCCACCCGGAACUGACUCCAGCUGGUCCCGAUCGCUUUAACAAGUCCUUAAAUAAACUCUUUAAAACUUUC